AACUGAGUGAUGAAGGCAUGGACUCAAAAGCAGCUUAAAUCUCUCCCAUGCUUUGUGAAUUGGCUUCCCCUCCAUCUGAGAAAAUGAACGGAUCUUAUUUCUCAAGUC